GACGAACCGCCCGAACGUUAUUCGGAAUCACUGGGCUUAAAGGGAGCGUAGGCGGGCUGCCAAGUCCGGGGUGAAAUCCUCCAGCUUAACUGGAGAACUGCCUCGGAUACUGGAAGUCUCGAGGAGGGUAGGGGCAAGUGGAACCGUGGGUGGAGCGGUGAAAUGCGUUGAUAUCCAUGGGAACUCCGGUGGCGAAGGCGACUUGCUGGACCCUUUCUGACGCUGAGGCUCGAAAGCCAGGGGAGCAAACGGG
rnacentral:rRNA from 2 species